CCAAGCAAAAGUGCAUCAGUCAAAAUGCCCAAAAACCCUUCCGCUACUAUGAAUUUUCCAUCUACUCAAAGCCCUUCCGCUACUCUUUCUCCGUUCAAAACCCUUCCGCUACUCUUUCUCCGUUCAUUCUCGGCCAUGAAUCCCGCAUAGUUGCCAAAAUCUAAGGUUAAGCUACCAGAGCACCCAAGUUCUAUUGUCGCCAAGGUACUUUUCUUUUGAUCAUGUUUACACCCACUUGUUGUUCCUAGUAGGGAAGAAAUGAACCUGACUUAGCUUCUCGAGCGACGAGUACAACCUUUGCAUCAAGAGAUCGAAGAAUUGCGGGAGCUAGUAAAAGUCCUCCGUCAGCAAGUUCAAGAGUGUAGAAGAAGUGGCUAGUAGUAUUUGAACUAAAUUGUGGAAACUAGUAGUAUUUGAACUUAAUAUGUGAUUUGAUUGAAUUGAAGUGUGAAACAAUAUUUUGUAUCUAUGUAAAAUUUGAAUUUUCUUCA